UAGAGUUGAAUAAUGGUC
rnacentral:siRNA from 1 species